AUACGGAGGGUGCAAGCGUUAAUCGGAAUUACUGGGCGUAAAGCGUACGUAGGCGGUUAUUUAAGUCAGAUGUGGAAGCCCCGGGCUUAACUUGGGAACUGCAUUUGAAACUGGGUAACUAGAGUUUAGUAGAGGGGAGUGGAAUUUCAGGUGUAGCGGUGAAAUGCGUAGAGAUCUGAAGGAACACCAGUGGCGAAGGCGACUCCCUGGACUAAAACUGACGCUGAGGUACGAAAGCGUGGGUAGCAAACAGGAUUAGAAACCCCAGUAGUCC
rnacentral:rRNA from 1 species